CUUGACGACCAUAGAGCAUUGGAACCACCUGAUCCCAUCCCGAACUCAGCAGUGAAACGAUG
rnacentral:rRNA from 3 species